AUGCAGUCGACGAUGAUCCGGUGCUUGCGCCGGGGAUUAGUGGCGAACGGGUGAGUAACACGUGAGUAACCUGCCCUUGACUCUGGGAUAAGCCUGGGAAACUGGGUCUAAUACCGGAUAUGACUCCUCAUCGCAUGGUGGGGGGUGGAAAGCUUUUUGUGGUUUUGGAUGGACUCGCGGCCUAUCAGCUUGUUGGUGGGGUAAUGGCCUACCAAGGCGACGACGGGUAGCCGGCCUGAGAGGGUGACCGGCCACACUGGGACUGAGACACGGCCCAGACUCCUACGGGAGGCAGCAGUGGGGAAUAUUGCACAAUGGGCGAAAGCCUGAUGCAGCGACGCCGCGUGAGGGAUGACGGCCUUCGGGUUGUAAACCUCUUUCAGUAGG
rnacentral:rRNA from 1 species